CUACGAUAUAUAGAAUGUAUGUAUAUUUAUUUUGUUGCAAAUAAUACAAACAAAAUUUUGAUUUGAUAGAGCUUUAUAGAAAUAUUUCAUUACAUUUGAUAUGCCAAUAAUUUGUGAAAAAUAAACAAGUUGUCUUUCACUGGUUGACCUGUUGACCUGUUGUAAUUUGAAUACUAAUGUAUUUUUAUAUAAGUUUUGUUUGUGCAUAUUUAUAUUUGUUAUACUGUUUUAUUGAUAAAUGUAUAUACAUAUGUAAUGAAUAUUCAAACAGUUGAUCAUGAUGAUUGUAAUUGAAAAAAACUGCUGUCAUUUAUUUUUCAAACCUUAAUUUAUACACUAAGGCUGCUUCAAGAUGGUCUCAUGAGACCUGUGAUUUUGGGGGUUAGGUGGGCAAGCUUACAAUCCAACCUCUCAUUUAAAAGGACAUGUAACCUUAAAGAAUUUUCAAAACCAAGAAUAAGAUCAGUAAAAACUGUAUAGUUUGCUGUCCUGAGUCAGUGACCUGGGUCUUGUUAUGUGCACAUUUCCUAAGAGCAAUAAUUAUAAUUUUUAGUUACAAUUUUGUAAAAGAGCUUUGCGAAUUCAAUUGAUAAAUUAAUUCUAAAAGGGAAGCAGUUAAUUUUUAGGUGUACUUGCAAUUGAUUGGCAGUUUUAUUAUUUUAAAUUCAUGUCUAUUUUUUAAACACUGUAAGGGAGCUACCAUUUGAUUUUUUAAUGGGGGGGGGGGGGGGGGAUGAAAUUUGAAAAAAAUAGGCAGGACAGGAGUUUUGAGUAAAAAAAAAGCAGGAUGAGACAAUUGCCAAAAAAAAAAGUCAGGACGACAAUUUAAAAAAAAAAAGUCAGGAAAAAAAAAAAAAAAAGCAGGACCAAACAGAGUGAAAAAUAAAAAGGCAGGACAGAGAUUACAGCUAAAAAAAUGCAGGACAAAAUUUUUCAUCCUAGCCCCCCCAUAAAAAUCAAAUGGUAGCUCCCUAAUAAAACCAAAUGAUUUGUUGCUGAAUUUUAAAAAUGUUUUUUAUGGGUUAAUAAUUAGAUAUACUAUUUUUAAAUUGAUGUUGUUGAUGAUUUUUGUUAUCAAUGUUAUAUGUUUGCAUCAUUUAGUGGCUAUAUUUGUUUUCUUAUACUACAUUUAAAAAUACCAUUGAAUGUGAAUAAGCUGAUUACAUAUUACUCCCUGUAUACCAUUCCUGUAUGAUUAUUUGAUUGAACAUGUGCCGAUGAAUUUCCCUCAUUUAAAAUUUUAAAGAUAAUCGGUGAUUUCCUUUUUUUCCCCCAAAAAGAAAAAAUAAGAUCACAUCUUCAUGAUCAUUGGUUGAAAGUCCCUGAGUUAAGAAUUUUAAAAUAAGAAAAAUUUUCACCAACAUCAACAUUUCAGUGUACUAAUCAGAAAGCAAUAAUGUAUAUCAUGCAUCAGAUUCUGAAUUGGCAAUUAGUUAUAGUUAAUAAUUGAAGAUCAGACUAGACCACCUUUCUAUAGACAUGUUUUCAAGUUUUUGCUUGACCACCUUUCUAUAGACAUGUUUUCAAGUUUUUGCUUGACCACUGAUGGAAAAUGUUUCAUGUCACAGGCAAAAAGUGAUAGUUGUGCAAACUUCAUGAGGUCAAUUGACACAGAAUUGAGGUAUACAUUAGAGAUAAUGAAAAUAAUUUUGCUUUGAUGUGAACCUGAGCUCAAAAUAUUUAAUUUUUAAUCUGGAAUUAGAUAUUGAAUUUCAAUGCUAUUUGUAAAUGUGGUGUAAUUAUUAUUUUUGUUUUAUCAUUACAUUGUUUGAGUGCUUUGUUUAUAUUGCUUCAGAUCAUUCCGUAUUGUUGUUAGUGCUUCUGGGUCUUUUUUAUCUUUGUUGGUUUACAGAUACAGUCACUGAAAUUUUGGAAAUAAAAAUAGUACCUGUUUUUUUUUUUAUUUAUUAUUUUUUAUAUAUAUUUUUAUUACUUCCUUUAUGUAUAGCCAGAAUGAAAAAUGUACGGGUUACUUUUCAUUUCUCAAAAAACCUACUCCAGUUAAUGUUUUCAUUAGGACUUUUGGUAUUGACAAGUGAAUAAUGAUGAAAUUAUGGGUUUCCUCAUAACCUCAAUGUAAAAGAUUAAAAAAGGGAGCAAAAUGAUAACGAAUUCCUAUCGGAACCGAUAGUAAAAUGCAUGGUAGAUUAAAUGGACUCAAUCUACAAUGAUUAUCUUAUUCAAUGAAAAUCUACAAUGAUUAUCUUAUUCAAUGAAUUGGAAUAAAAUAAUAAUUUAUUUUAAAAAAGGAGAUGUGGUAUUAUUGCCAAUGAGACAACUAUCCACCAAAGUUCAAAUGAAGUGGAUAUAAGCAAUUAUAGGCAACUAUAUGGCCAUUAAAACUGAGAAAAAUGUAUAGUCUGCUAUAAAAGGCACCAACAUAAAAAUAUGAAACAAUUCAAUUGAGAGAACUAACAACCAAAUGUUUACUUUUGGUUCCUUAGAAGAUAAGAAGACUAUGUACAGAUUAGUUUUUUUACCACAUUCCGGACAUCAAUCUUAAUUGACUAGGAUUGUCAGUUUUCCUAUUGAAGGUCAGUGGUUUUCUCCGGCCACUCGUGACAUAUUUAAUGGAAAAUCUGUAAACCAACAAAAAUAUUUGAAAGUCUUGUAAGAUUUUUGUGUUCAUGUGAGAACACUAUAAACACAGAGAAAAGUUAAUGUGAAAUAGUUUUGUUACAAAUGUACUUAUAUUUAAUACAAGGUUAAUAAGAGGAUUUAUAAUUCUUUUGUCUCGUCUGUAUGUUGUAACUAUGUGGGAAUGACAAAAAUGAGAAGAUCUUCCAUACCAUUACUUCUCAUGUUGUUGAUUAAGAUUUUCAAUAAAAACCUGCCAGAUUUUUUAAAACCUGCUCCUUUGUCAUGUUGGAUUUUUUCUAUUGUAACAUAAAAAAUUUACAUGUGAUCCUCCUAAAGAUGCCUUUUGAUAAGAUGCAGCUUGUUACAACUGCGAACAAUAGAAUUCAAUACAUCAUGUAUCAGAAAUUCUACCUUAAUCCAACAAGGGUGGAGAGAAAGGCACCGAAUCGUAACCCUUUGCUAGCGAAGAUGGCUUUUUGUAGGGUUGGACUUUUUCUAUUGUGGCAUUAAAAAUUUAUUUGAACGUUUGUGAUGUCCAGUCAUGUAGGACAAAUAAAGAUACAGGUAUAGUAUUUUAAAAUUUUACAUAACCCACCGUUGACAAAAUAUAAUGACAAAACCCACCUGAACUAAAGGUUAGACUAUUCAAGAAAUCCCUGAUAUCUGAAGGCCCCUUGUUUUUAGACUUGCUUCGGGCAGGGGACCACACCUUUAGCCAGUUCCCAAAAAUAGC
rnacentral:lncRNA from 1 species